rnacentral:rRNA from 1 species
ACUAAAUAGAUACCCGGGUAGUCCACGCGGUAAACGAUGAAUACUAGGCGUAGGUGGAGUGAAAUCCAUCUGUGCCGCAGCAAACGCGAUAAGUAUUCCGCCUGGGGAGUACGGCCGCAAGGCUAAAACUCAAAGGAAUUGACGGGGGCCCGGCCACAAGACAGCGGAGGCGUGUGGUUUUAAGUUUACGUAUGCAACAACGAAGAACCUUAACCCUUGGGUUUGGUACAUCUGCGUAGUAGUGAGCUGAAAGGGGAAACGGACUCUUCGGUAGAGCGCAGACAGGUGCUGCAUGGCGUGUCGUCAGUUCGUGUCGUGAGAUGUUGGGUUAAGUCCCGCAACGAGCGCAACCCCUACUUGCCACGUUAC